AGAGUUUGAUCAUGGCUCAGGACGAACGCUGGCGGCGUGCUUAACACAUGCAAGUCGAGCGGAAAGGCCUCCUUCGGGGGGUACUCGAGCGGCGAACGGGUGAGUAACACGUGAGUGAUCUGCCCCCUACUCUGGGAUAACUGCCUGAAAGGGUGGCUAAUACCGGAUGUGACUGACUGCUGCAUGGUGGUUGGUGGAAAGGUUUUUUCUGGUGGGGGAUGUGCUCGCGGCCUAUCAGCUUGUUGGUGGGGUAAUGGCCUACCAAGGCUUUGACGGGUAGCCGGCCUGAGAGGGUGACCGGCCACACUGGGACUGAGACACGGCCCAGACUCCUACGGGAGGCAGCAGUGGGGAAUAUUGGACAAUGGGCGGAAGCCUGAUCCAGCAACGCCGCGUGAGGGAUGACGGCCUUCGGGUUGUAAACCUCUUUCAGCACAGGCGAAGCUGCCACUACGUGUGGUGGUGGUGACGGUAUGUGCAGAAGAAGCACCGGCCAACUACGUGCCAGCCGCCGCGGUAAUAC
rnacentral:rRNA from 1 species